AAAAUUUUAUUCCAGAUAUACUAUGUCCAUUCUCUUCAACUCUUCUAACCAAUACCAAUCACACGAAGUGAAUUUUUCAAUUUUUAUUUUCGUAUGGUCGAUUGUAUGACAA